CCAAGGAGUCUAACAUGUGCGCAAGUCAUUGGGUGAAAAAACCUAAAGGCAAAACAAAAAUGAAAAAAGCUUAAGCUUUAUUAGGGAGGAUGGCUAUUUAACUAUAUUUUAGUGGUAGUCCGCACUCCCGGGGCGUCUAUUACUCAUUGCGAGUAAAGGCGCACCAAGAGCGUACACGUUGGGACCCGAAAGAUGGUGAACUAUGCCAGACCAGGAUGAAGCCAGGGGAAACUCUGGUGGAGGUCCGCAGCGAUUCUGACGUGCAAAUCGAUCGUCUGAGUUUGGUAUAGGGGCGAUAGACUUAUCGAACUAUCUAGUAGCUGGUUCCUUCCGAAGUUUCCCUCAGGAUAGCUGGUUCCGAUGAUGACAAAUGAGUCUCAUCCGGUAAAGCGAAUGAUUAGAGGCCUUGGGGCCGAAACGACCUCAACCUAUUCUCAAACUUUAAAUGGAUGAGAGCUUUGGCUUGCUUAAAAAGUGAAGCCAGAGAUUUGGAUCUAGGUGCCAAGUGGGCCAAUUUUGGUAAGAAAAAAUCGGGGCAAAUA
rnacentral:rRNA from 1 species